UAUGUGAUCGUCUCUCGCAUAUCAAUAAGCGGAGGAAAAGAAACUAACAAGGAUUCCCCUAGUAACGGCGAGUGAAGCGGGAAGAGCUCAAAUUUGAAAUCUUAAAGGGUUUCCCUUUACGAAUUGUAGUUUAAAGAAGUGUUUUCUGUUGAGGUUUUGGUAAAAGUUCUUUGGAAUAGGACAUCAUAGAGGGUGAGAAUCCCGUAUUUGACCUUUACUUUCAACUUUGUGAUACACUUUCAAAGAGUCGGAUUGUUUGGGAAUGCAGUCCAAAAUGGGUGGUAAAUUUCAUCUAAAGGCUAAAUAUCGGCGAGAGACCGAUAGCGAACAAGUACCGUGAGGGAAAGAUGAAAAGAACUUUGAAAAGAGAGUUAAACAGUACGUGAAAUUGUCAAAAGGGAAGCGUUUGACACCAGUGUUGUUUUUCUGAAAAUCAAUUAAAGAACUGUUUAUGCUAAGUUGUUUAGACUUUAUCAGCUAUCUGUUUAGUUUUGAGCUUUUCUUUAAUGCACUUUUCAGUUAACAAGUCAACAUCAAUUUCUUUUGCUGUAAAAAAGCUUGAGGAAGGUGGCUUGAGAUUCGUCUUAAGUGUUUAUAGCCUCUUGCCUAUGCAGUCGGAGAGAUUGAGGUCUGCAGCGUAGAUCCUUCGGGGCUAAAUGCAUUUGUGCUAAGUUAUAGCAUUUUAUAGACAACUUGUUGACUAUGAUUUGUCUUGUAGCUUACUCGCUUAUGUUAUUUUACCUACGCUUAGGAUGUUGAUCUGUAGUGCGUGCGC
rnacentral:rRNA from 1 species